AGCUCAGUUGGUUAGAGCGUCGGAUUGUGGUUCCGAAGGUCGCGGGUUCGAGACCCGUC
rnacentral:tRNA from 1 species